UACGUAGAGGGCAAGCGUUGUCCGGAUUUAUUGGGCGUAAAGAGCGUGUAGGCGGCCUGAAAGGUCAGCUGUGAAAACUCGAGGCUCAACCUCGAGACGUCGGUUGAAACCAUCUGGCUAGAGUCCGGAAGAGGAGUGUGGAAUUCCCGGUGUAGCGGUGAAAUGCGCAGAUAUCGGGAAGAACACCCGUGGCGAAGGCGGCACUCUGGGACGGUACUGACGCUGAGACGCGAAAGCGUGGGGAGCGAACAGG
rnacentral:rRNA from 1 species